GGAGUUUCUAUAUACAUUUGUUUUGCCCUUGUUUUCACGUCGUUAUCUUCGGCAGUUUCCGGAAGUAGUCGGAAACAGGAAUUUCAUAUCACCAACAAAUACACCAUUUUCGUAAUUAUAAGUCUUUCUAAUCUAUUUAUCAUUAAAAAUAAUAUGUUCCAUUAACGUUUAUCCAACUUUUAGGUGUUUGAUGUAAAAAGAUAUAAAAUCUUUUCCCAUAGUGCAGUUCGCUAUUGUUCCAUUUCGCGCCAUCACCUCUCAGAUGUAGCGCAGUUUUCAAGCAGACAAGUCAAUCGUUUCUUCUGCUAGUCACAACAGUUUCAAUGACUAGUUGGUCCGUGCCCUGGGUCAUGUGACCACUGACCGUUGCUGAAAGGAGUGUUCUCCUGGGGGUUUUUCGUUACAUGGAUUCAUCCAUCCACAAUGAACAAUAAAGUCUCUCUAUAGAAGA